rnacentral:lncRNA from 1 species
AUAUAUACAUAUUCUGUUAACAGUAAGCUCGCAUUUUGUAAAAUUAAUUCACAGUUUAAGUUAAUCUAUCUUAGAUGCACCUAUUAAAUUAUUAAUUAACUAACAACUAACAACCAAUAGUAGCUAAUAAAAUAUAGAAACUUUUUUUUUUAGAAAAAGAAAAAGUUAACUGCAUCCCGGGUUCAAACCCCACUGCUCCUCCUCCCCAACUCCCCCAA